rnacentral:rRNA from 1 species
ACUUGCUGUGGGUACGGGCAGACUAGAGUAUGGUAGGGGAGACCGGAAUUCCUGGUGUAGCGGUGGAAUGCGCAGAUAUCAGGAGGAACACCGAUGGCGAAGGCAGGUCUCUGGGCCAUAACUGACGCUGAGAAGCGAAAGCAUGGGGAGCGAACAGGAUUAGAUACCCUGGUAGUCCAUGCCGUAAACGUUGGGCGCUAGGUGUGGGGCUCAUUCCACGAGCUCCGUGCCGCAGCUAACGCAUUAAGCGCCCCGCCUGGGGAGUACGGCCGCAAGGCUAAAACUCAAAGGAAUUGACGGGGCCCGCACAAGCGGCGGAGCAUGCGGAUUAAUUCGAUGCAACGCGAAGAACCUUACCAAGGCUUGACAUAUACCGGAAACAUCCAGAGAUGGGUGCCCCGCAAGGUCGGUAUACAGGUGGU